rnacentral:rRNA from 1 species
GGGUUGUGAGGUUAAGCGACUAAGCGUACACGGUGGAUGCCCUGGCAGUCAGAGGCGAUGAAGGACGUGCUAAUCUGCGAUAAGCGUCGGUAAGGUGAUAUGAACCGUUAUAACCGGCGAUUUCCGAAUGGGGAAACCCAGUGUGUUUCGACACACUAUCAUUAACUGAAUCCAUAGGUUAAUGAGGCGAACCGGGGGAACUGAAACAUCUAAGUACCCCGAGGAAAAGAAAUCAACCGAGAUUCCCCCAGUAGCGGCGAGCGAACGGGGAGCAGCCCAGAGCCUGAAUCAGUGUGUGUGUUAGUGGAAGCGUCUGGAAAGGCGCGCGAUACAGGGUGACAGCCCCGUACACAAAAAUGCACAUGCUGUGAGCUCGAUGAGUAGGGCGGGACACGUGGUAUCCUGUCUGAAUAUGGGGGGACCAUCCUCCAAGGCUAAAUACUCCUGACUGACCGAUAGUGAACCAGUACCGUGAGGGAAAGGCGAAAAGAACCCCGGCGAGGGGAGUGAAAAAGAACCUGAAACCGUGUACGUACAAGCAGUGGGAGCACGCUUAGGCGUGUGACUGCGUACCUUUUGUAUAAUGGGUCAGCGACUUAUAUUCUGUAGCAAGGUUAACCGAAUAGGGGAGCCGAAGGGAAACCGAGUCUUAACUGGGCGUUAAGUUGCAGGGUAUAGACCCGAAACCCGGUGAUCUAGCCAUGGGCAGGUUGAAGGUUGGGUAACACUAACUGGAGGACCGAACCGACUAAUGUUGAAAAAUUAGCGGAUGACUUGUGGCUGGGGGUGAAAGGCCAAUCAAACCGGGAGAUAGCUGGUUCUCCCCGAAAGCUAUUUAGGUAGCGCCUCGUGAAUUCAUCUCCGGGGGUAGAGCACUGUUUCGGCAAGGGGGUCAUCCCGACUUACCAACCCGAUGCAAACUGCGAAUACCGGAGAAUGUUAUCACGGGAGACACACGGCGGGUGCUAACGUCCGUCGUGAAGAGGGAAACAACCCAGACCGCCAGCUAAGGUCCCAAAGUCAUGGUUAAGUGGGAAACGAUGUGGGAAGGCCCAGACAGCCAGGAUGUUGGCUUAGAAGCAGCCAUCAUUUAAAGAAAGCGUAAUAGCUCACUGGUCGAGUCGGCCUGCGCGGAAGAUGUAACGGGGCUAAACCAUGCACCGAAGCUGCGGCAGCGACGCUUAUGCGUUGUUGGGUAGGGGAGCGUUCUGUAAGCCUGCGAAGGUGUGCUGUGAGGCAUGCUGGAGGUAUCAGAAGUGCGAAUGCUGACAUAAGUAACGAUAAAGCGGGUGAAAAGCCCGCUCGCCGGAAGACCAAGGGUUCCUGUCCAACGUUAAUCGGGGCAGGGUGAGUCGACCCCUAAGGCGAGGCCGAAAGGCGUAGUCGAUGGGAAACAGGUUAAUAUUCCUGUACUUGGUGUUACUGCGAAGGGGGGACGGAGAAGGCUAUGUUGGCCGGGCGACGGUUGUCCCGGUUUAAGCGUGUAGGCUGGUUUUCCAGGCAAAUCCGGAAAAUCAAGGCUGAGGCGUGAUGACGAGGCACUACGGUGCUGAAGCAACAAAUGCCCUGCUUCCAGGAAAAGCCUCUAAGCAUCAGGUAACAUCAAAUCGUACCCCAAACCGACACAGGUGGUCAGGUAGAGAAUACCAAGGCGCUUGAGAGAACUCGGGUGAAGGAACUAGGCAAAAUGGUGCCGUAACUUCGGGAGAAGGCACGCUGAUAUGUAGGUGAAGUCCCUCGCGGAUGGAGCUGAAAUCAGUCGAAGAUACCAGCUGGCUGCAACUGUUUAUUAAAAACACAGCACUGUGCAAACACGAAAGUGGACGUAUACGGUGUGACGCCUGCCCGGUGCCGGAAGGUUAAUUGAUGGGGUCAGCGCAAGCGAAGCUCUUGAUCGAAGCCCCGGUAAACGGCGGCCGUAACUAUAACGGUCCUAAGGUAGCGAAAUUCCUUGUCGGGUAAGUUCCGACCUGCACGAAUGGCGUAAUGAUGGCCAGGCUGUCUCCACCCGAGACUCAGUGAAAUUGAACUCGCUGUGAAGAUGCAGUGUACCCGCGGCAAGACGGAAAGACCCCGUGAACCUUUACUAUAGCUUGACACUGAACAUUGAGCCUUGAUGUGUAGGAUAGGUGGGAGGCUUUGAAGUGUGGACGCCAGUCUGCAUGGAGCCGACCUUGAAAUACCACCCUUUAAUGUUUGAUGUUCUAACGUUGACCCGUAAUCCGGGUUGCGGACAGUGUCUGGUGGGUAGUUUGACUGGGGCGGUCUCCUCCUAAAGAGUAACGGAGGAGCACGAAGGUUGGCUAAUCCUGGUCGGACAUCAGGAGGUUAGUGCAAUGGCAUAAGCCAGCUUGACUGCGAGCGUGACGGCGCGAGCAGGUGCGAAAGCAGGUCAUAGUGAUCCGGUGGUUCUGAAUGGAAGGGCCAUCGCUCAACGGAUAAAAGGUACUCCGGGGAUAACAGGCUGAUACCGCCCAAGAGUUCAUAUCGACGGCGGUGUUUGGCACCUCGAUGUCGGCUCAUCACAUCCUGGGGCUGAAGUAGGUCCCAAGGGUAUGGCUGUUCGCCAUUUAAAGUGGUACGCGAGCUGGGUUUAGAACGUCGUGAGACAGUUCGGUCCCUAUCUGCCGUGGGCGCUGGAGAACUGAGGGGGGCUGCUCCUAGUACGAGAGGACCGGAGUGGACGCAUCACUGGUGUUCGGGUUGUCAUGCCAAUGGCACUGCCCGGUAGCUAAAUGCGGAAGAGAUAAGUGCUGAAAGCAUCUAAGCACGAAACUUGCCCCGAGAUGAGUUCUCCCUGACCCUUUAAGGGUCCUGAAGGAACGUUGAAGACGACGACGUUGAUAGGCCGGGUGUGUAAGCGCAGCGAUGCGUUGAGCUAACCGGUACUAAUGAACCGUGAGGCUUAACCUUACAACGCCGAAGCUGUU